AUUUAGAAAGUAAUACUAGGGCUUGUCUACACUUACCGGGGGUUUGGUGCACUGCAAUCGAUGCAUCGGUGGUUGAUUUAGCAGAUCUAGUGAAGACCCACUAAAUCGACCACCAAUCACUCUCCCAUUGACUCCUGUACUCCACCUGAAUGAG